UACGUAGGGCGCAAGCGUUGUCCGGAAUUACUGGGCGUAAAGGGCGCGUAGGCGGCCAACUAAGUCAGACGUGAAAUCCCUCGGCUCAACCGGGGAACUGCGUCUGAUACUGGAUGGCUUGAAUUCGGGAGAGGGAUGCGGAAUUCCAGGUGUAGCGGUGAAAUGCGUAGAUAUCUGGAGGAACACCGGUGGCGAAGGCGGCAUCCUGGACCGAGAUUGACGCUGAUGCGCGAAAGCCAGGGGAGCAAACGGG
rnacentral:rRNA from 1 species